rnacentral:misc_RNA from 1 species
AAAAAAAAAAAAAAAAAAUUUACAUGACAUUUGAAUUCUUUGGUUCAAUUCCCUUUCAGCAAUGAGUAUGCCCACGCUAUAGUUUAUUUCUCUAAGGAGUCAAAAAUAUGACCAGGUGACAAGCCAAGUAUUUGACUCCUUGCCUAGCAAAAAAUUACGGAUAAUUUGAACUCAAAUAUAAUAUUCUUGGCGUAACUUGAUGAAGAAGAUGACAUUAUUACAAAACACAACAGCAUAUCAAGCAAAUAUAACUAAUGAAGAAGAAGAAGAAGA